GAUGAACGCUGGCGGCGUGCCUAAUACAUGCAAGUCGAGCGAACGGACGAGAAGCUUGCUUCUCUGAUGUUAGCGGCGGACGGGUGAGUAACACGUGGAUAACCUACCUAUAAGACUGGGAUCACUUCGGGAAACCGGAGCUAAUACCGGAUAAUAUUUUGAACCGCAUGGUUCAAAAGUGAAAGACGGUCUUGCUGUCACUUAUAGAUGGAUCCGCGCUGCAUUAGCUAGUUGGUAAGGUAACGGCUUACCAAGGCAACGAUGCAUAGCCGACCUGAGAGGCUGAUAGGCCGCAUGGGAACGGGGACACGGUCCAGACUCCUACGGGAGGCAGCAGUAGGGAAUCUUCCGCAAUGGGCGAAAGCCUUACGGAGCAACGCCGCGUGAGUGAUGAAGGUCUUCGGAUCGUAAAACUCUGUUAUUAGUGAAGAACAGAUGUGGAAGGAACUGUGCACAGCUUGACGGUACCUAAUCAGAAAGCCACGGCUAACUACGUG
rnacentral:rRNA from 1 species